ensembl:snRNA U6 U6 spliceosomal RNA
AUACUAAAUGCAGCACAUAUACUAAAAACUGGAAUAAUACAGAGAAGAUUGGCGUGGCUCCUGCACAAGGAUGAAAUACAAAUUCCUGAAGCAUUCCAUUAAAAA